GCUACUAUGGCUCAGCUGGUAGAGCAGCUGAUUCGUAAUCAGCAGGUCGCCAGUUCGAAUCUGGCUAGUAGCUCCA
rnacentral:tRNA from 1 species